rnacentral:rRNA from 1 species
GACGAACGCUGGCGGCGUGCUUACACAUGCAAGUCGAACGGAAAGGCCCUGCUUUUGUGGGGUGCUCGAGUGGCGAACGGGUGAGUAACACGUGAGUAACCUGCCCUUGACUUUGGGAUAACUUCAGGAAACUGGGGCUAAUACCGGAUAGGAGCUCCUGCUGCAUGGUGGGGGUUGGAAAGUUUCGGCGGUUGGGGAUGGACUCGCGGCUUAUCAGCUUGUUGGUGGGGUAGUGGCUUACCAAGGCUUUGACGGGUAGCCGGCCUGAGAGGGUGACCGGCCACAUUGGGACUGAGAUACGGCCCAGACUCCUACGGGAGGCAGCAGUGGGGAAUAUUGCACAAUGGGCGGAAGCCUGAUGCAGCAACGCCGCGUGCGGGAUGACGGCCUUCGGGUUGUAAACCGCUUUCGCCUGUGACGAAGCGUGAGUGACGGUAAUGGGUAAAGAAGCACCGGCUAACUACGUGCCAGCAGCCGCGGUGAUACGUAGGGUGCGAGCGUUGUCCGGAUUUAUUGGGCGUAAAGGGCUCGUAGGUGGUUGAUCGCGUCGGAAGUGUAAUCUUGGGGCUUAACCCUGAGCGUGCUUUCGAUACGGGUUGACUUGAGGAAGGUAGGGGAGAAUGGAAUUCCUGGUGGAGCGGUGGAAUGCGCAGAUAUCAGGAGGAACACCAGUGGCGAAGGCGGUUCUCUGGGCCUUUCCUGACGCUGAGGAGCGAAAGCGUGGGGAGCGAACAGGCUUAGAUACCCUGGUAGUCCACGCUGUAAACGGUGGGUACUAGGUGUGGGGUCCAUUCCACGGGUUCCGUGCCGUAGCUAACGCUUUAAGUACCCCGCCUGGGGAGUACGGCCGCAAGGCUAAAACUCAAAGGAAUUGACGGGGCCCCGCACAAGCGGCGGAGCAUGCGGAUUAAUUCGAUGCAACGCGUAGAACCUUACCUGGGUUUGACAUGGAUCGGGAGUGCUCAGAGAUGGGUGUGCCUCUUUUGGGGUCGGUUCACAGGUGGUGCAUGCCUGUCGUCAGCUCGUGUCGUGAGAUGUUGGGUUAAGUCCCGCAACGAGCGCAACCCUUGUUCACUGUUGCCAGCACGUUAUGGUGGGGACUCAGUGGAGACCGCCGGGGUCAACUCGGAGGAAGGUGGGGAUGACGUCAAGUCAUCAUGCCCCUUAUGUCCAGGGCUUCACGCAUGCUACAAUGGCUGGUACAGAGAGUGGCGAGCCUGCGAGGGUGAGCGAAUCUCGGAAAGCCGGUCUCAGUUCGGAUUGGGGUCUGCAACUCGACCUCAUGAAGUCGGAGUCGCUAGUAAUCGCAGAUCAGCAACGCUGCGGUGAAUACGUUCCCGGGGCU